rnacentral:misc_RNA from 1 species
GAUGAAGAACGUAGCGAAACGCGAUAGUUAAUGUGAAUUGCAGAAUUCAGUGAAUCAUCGAGUCUUUGAACGCACAUUGCGCCCCCUGGUAUUCCGGGGGGCAUGCCUGUCCGAGCGUCAUUGCUGCCCAUCAAGCGCGGCUUGUGUGUUGGGCCGCCGUCCGCCUUCCCCCCCGGGGGGAGGGGGACGGGCCCGAAAGGCAGCGGCGGCACCGCGUCCGGUCCUCGAGCGUAUGGGGCUCUGUCACCCGCUCUGGAGGCCCGGCCGGCGCCCGCCGACCCCCAACCUUCUUCUAACCAGGUUGACCCCGGAUCAGGUAGGGAUACCCGCUGAACUUAAGCAUAUCAAUAAGCGGAGGA